GAUGAACGCUGGCGGCGUGCCUAAUACAUGCAAGUCGAGCGAACGGACGAGAAGCUUGCUUUUCUGAUGUUAGCGGCGGACGGGUGAGUAACACGUGGAUAACCUACCUAUAAGACUGGGAUAACUUCGGGAAACCGGAGCUAAUACCGGAUAAUAUUUUGAACCGCAUGGUUCAAAAGUGAAAGACGGUCUUGCUGUCACUUAUAGAUGGAUCCGCGCUGCAUUAGCUAGUUGGUAAGGUAACGGCUUACCAAGGCAACGAUGCAUAGCCGACCUGAGAGGGUGAUCGGCCACACUGGAACUGAGACACGGUCCAGACUCCUACGGGAGGCAGCAGUAGGGAAUCUUCCGCAAAGGGCGAAAGCCUGACGGAGCAACGCCGCGUGAGUGAUGAAGGUCUUCGGAUCGUAAAACUCUGUUAUUAGGGAAGAACAUAUGCGUAAGUAACUGUGCACAUCUUGACGGUACCUAAUCAGAAAGCCACGGCUAGCUACGUG
rnacentral:rRNA from 1 species